rnacentral:siRNA from 1 species
AUCAACAAGUCUUGUAGAGUAGGU